rnacentral:rRNA from 1 species
UACGUAGGGGGCAAGCGUUGUCCGGAAUCAUUGGGCGUAAAGAGCGUGUAGGCGGCCCGGUAAGUCCGCCGUGAAAGUCCAGGGCUCAACCCUGGAAUGCCGGUGGAUACUGUCGGGCUAGAGUCCGGAAGGGGCGAGUGGAAUUCCCGGUGUAGCGGUGAAAUGCGCAGAUAUCGGGAGGAACACCAAUUGCGAAGGCAGCUCGCUGGGACGUGACUGACGCUGAGACGCGAAAGCGUGGGGAGCAAACAGG